rnacentral:rRNA from 1 species
AGUGAACGCUGGCGGUAGGCCUAACACAUGCAAGUCGAACGGAAGCACAGUAAGAGCUUGCUCUUACGGGUGGCGAGUGGCGGACGGGUGAGGAAUACAUCGGAAUCUACUUUUUCGUGGGGGAUCACGUAGGGAAACUUACGCUAAUACCGCAUACGACCUACGGGUGAAAGCAGGGGAUCUUCGGACCUUGCGCGAUUGAAUGAGCCGAUGUCGGAUUAGCUAGUUGGCGGGGUAAAGGCCCACCAAGGCGACGAUCCGUAGCUGGUCUGAGAGGAUGAUCAGCCACACUGGAACUGAGACACGGUCCAGACUCCUACGGGAGGCAGCAGUGGGGAAUAUUGGACAAUGGGCGCAAGCCUGAUCCAGCCAUACCGCGUGGGUGAAGAAGGCCUUCGGGUUGUAAAGCCCUUUUGUUGGGAAAGAAAAGCAGCAGGUUAAUACCCCGCUGUUCUGACGGUACCCAAAGAAUAAGCACCGGCUAACUUCGUG